UGGAAAAUAACGCGUGUCUGGAGGAACAGUUGAAAAAUGGAUAAGAUAAUACAACAAAAGGAUGAUCAAAUUAUGGACCUGGAGGCUCAAUUAUUGCAACAGCACAAAAUAUUAGAUAACAGCAAAGCUAAGGAUGCUCAAAGUUUGAGUCUACAAGCUCAGCUAGGGGAAAAGAACAAAUUGGAACGGAACAGUUUCCAAACAGUGAAGGAGGUUUUUCCAAACUCAUCCCUAACUGAACAUGAGGAUGAAUUGGCAUUAACCAAAUAAUGCUGCACAAAAAGAAUGGUUAGUAAUAAGCCCAUGCAGUGAAGGAAGUGAACAAUUGUGGGACCGUAUUUGGGCCGAAAAUGGGUGUGGUACGGAAACCAAGAUAUGGGACAAGUUCAACAUGAAACAUGGAUUAGAAUUUAAUUGGGGAUCAAAUCAAGUCUGGAAGUGUUACAGGAUGGAAGAGUCAGCCUACAGAUGAAAAAACACUGAGAGUGCAUUACCAUUAAGGUAUGAGGUAAAGUAAUAGAGUAUGCACAUUGUCUAAUGAGAAGUACCAUCUUGUGUUAAUAA